GUUAGGGGAAGGUUUGAAGGCCCUGGAGGUGACAGCAGCCCCACAGAAAGAUUGAUAUGUCAACUACCCUGCACCCCUGAGAGUUCGCAGAGACUGAGCUCUCAACUAAGAUCAAUCACACGGCUUAUCCGAGUCUGGUCCCCGGACCCUGACACAUCUGUAGCAGUAGGAUGCGCCUAAUCCUGCAAGGACUCGAUGCACCAGGGUGGGGGUUAGAGAGACAGGAGCUUCACUCUCAGAGCAAAAGGGGAAGAGAAAGGGAGGACUGAGAGGGAGAGAAACAUGUAGGAUAUAAACAAACAAACAAACAAAUACCUUAUAGAUUGCAUUUCCACUUACAAAGAACUGAGUCUUGGAGGCCAGAUUGUUUCCAAUUGUGUGUGUCUGGAGGAGUCAGAUGAUGUCUACUCUCAGUUUCCUCUGACUUGACCUGCUUCUCAGGGCAAGGGCCAAUCUUAUUUGACAAGGAAGCCCCUUUAGUUCUUAUGUGCACAUAGAAGGAGUCUACAUUGAAGGGGAUUACACUUUCAAAGGUGUCCUGAUCUCUGAUCCUCCCAUAGUAACACUAACAUGUUAAGGAAACUGCUACAAACCAAUGCCUUGGCUGGAUCUACCUGGGUUUUGAACACUGGGUUCUUUCUUAGCUAUGCUGCUCCUAAAUUCCAGGCUGACAAAACUCAGCAGAAAAAGUAAAACCCACAUGGAAGAAACAGUAGAUGGCAAAGGGAGACAAAGUCUCAGCAGGGUAGUCAUGGUCUCUGGCCCCUUCUCACAGAUACAGGAAAAGCCCUGGGACACGAACUCUCCCCAAGGCUGCCUCCUUGUCUAAGCAAAGACUUUCAUGACUGAGAGCAGAUCAGUCUCUGCAUAGGUAGACUCUAAGUGUUGUCUUAAACGUCCCACAUCCAAGCAUUAACUCAAGCAGAAAUGAGUGUCUUCCUCCCAACAGAGUAAUUACCAAUUUCCUAUUAUCUCAUAACACCACAAAGAAUGAUUUCCUCUAACACUUCUGUCCUUAAAAGUCAUAUUCCUUACAACUGUUCAUCCCCAAGACUCCAUUUUAUAUAUAAAAAUUUGCAAAAUCAGCACCAUCUUUUGUUUUAAAAAUAUUUAGUGUUGUGUUAAACGGAUCCAUCAUUUUAGAGCCCAAGGAUUGUAGAUCUCCACAGUACAAAUGCAAGUUAAACAGAUGCGGUCCUCCAUGGGCUGACUUUUAAAUUUAUCUACAUAAUCUAGAGAUGUUUGUGUGUACAUUCACCCUGUUUUCCUUUCCUGUUAGCUUGCUGCCUCUUAACUUGUCUUGAAUACUUUAAGAAGCUGCUCUGGGAACCUUCUCUCCAGUAGAUUAGAAUGCCUUAAAGAUAAAUUUCCUAUCUAACUGGGUUGAGAGAGAUGCCCAAGGUGUCUUCGGCAUCCUCAUUUGGUACAGCCAACCAAAUCCUCUUUUGUACCUAAUAAACAUGGUCUGUAAUUUAUAGACAGGUUAUGAACUGUUAGAGCUCUGCUUCCUGUGUAGACGCCAAGCACUGGAAAUUCUAUUUUAAGAGAAUUAAAGAACUGUAUUAUAAAAUGUUCAUGGUAUGAAAAGUACAGAAUUAAGACGAUUUCAACAAUUACAGUGUCCUACUUAAAUUAUGUUGAAAGGAAAUCCGGGGACAGUUUGAAGUGUGGAGAAGCAGGCCGGGCCUUUCAAUCUCCUUUAGAGACACACGCAGCAAAACGAGAAGCCCUUGCCUUGCCCUCAGCAAACCUUUCCCUCCUAAGCUCAAUCUCCAUAUUCUUUAAACUUCUUAAAAUUAGUCAAAUGAUUCCAUUUGUAUUUUUUCUGCUCUAAAUUUAUUUGAGGCAGAAUCAAAUGUAUACCAACCCAUCUUCCUUGCUGUUUCAUGGAAGCCAGUUCCAUAAUUCUCCAUGAGAAGAAAGCCAAUGUGUCUAUCAAAGAGGCUUUAUGUUAAAUGUAAAUUUCUGUACUUUCAGUUAAAAGGGAAGAUUAUUUAAUUCACUUCAAUUUAACAAGCAUUUACAGAGUAGUGGCAGGCAUUGGUCACGAAAAGGAAUAAAAAAGAAUACAGAAUGCUUGGAUGUUUCCUAUGGACUGAGGGAAACAGGUGCAUCCACCAUGAGUUCAGGACAGGGCAGAACUCGGGCUACACCAGAAGCACACACAAAGGGGAGGUGUGCUGAUUGAUGUGUGUCUAGGGACUCUAACAGAGGUUUCAGAGAUGAGGCAAGGUGACAUUGGGACUGGCUAAAGGAUGAAGUCUGUGGCACGGUAUCCUAUGGGAAAGAAACCCGUAGGAAAAAAACAAUAUACCACAUGACUCCACAUGAUUUGCAGAUCCUGGCACACAUAAAAAGAUGGGGCCCCAACUCAAUACCAUUAGGAACUUCAGUGAUGAUAACUGGGUAAGCCUGUUAUCCAGCAAGACUCAGGGAAGCCAACCUGUAUGUCAAUGGCCACCUGCAGCAACUGGAGGACCAGAGACCUAGUAAGGUGGCACCUAGUAAUCUUAAUCAUCAAAUGUGUCAGGGGGCCGAGAUUAUAGGGGGUUCUCCCGCUAAGAGAAAGCGUCCAUUGCUGAUGACAGGGUACAGGACAUACUAAGUACUUUGCCAAGGUAGACAGAAGCUAAGCAUUUAACAAACACAUCUGAGAAUAUGAGUCCCUUUCUCCUCCACAGGCUGACACUAUUUAAGUUGAUACAGAAAGUAUUGUUUUUCCUGUGAGUUGAAUUCUUUUCCGGGAGGGAGUGGAGGGAGCUUUGAAGGGUCUGCUGUCCCCAGUUUGCCUCUAACUCAACAGACAAAAAAAGGGAGUUAUAGUGCAAAUAAAGAAACAUAUAUUUAGAUUUUCGGUGUGACAUAAUAUUCCCAAUUUCCCUCCAUUUUCCCUCUUUUAACAAAAAGAAACUGUAGGCAAGGCCUUGAUAAGGCCUCCACAUGAGCAAGAAGGCAAUGGACUCAGAUCUAUUUACAUUUUGCCUGCAUUUAUUUUUACAGUCCAGUGGUGAGUGGGGCUAUCCAGCUCCCACUUCCGCCUGAAGCUACUUUAAGCUUCAAACCACUGCCCUGAGCAUUGGAACAGAGUCUCUGCGGUCCCCAUAGAAAUCCUGUGGAAUGCACUUUCCUGCUGGUUUGUUACACUGCUUCAGCGCCUACUCCAUUUUGCAGGGCAACAAAACUCCACACCACAGUCCAACCAGAAAGACUUUAACCCUUCUCUUCUGUAAUUAAAGUUCCUAUUUACAUGGAAAGGUUGUUUGUGAAUAAUCCCUGCAGGGAGUCAACCUAACAAAAAUCAAUCACCCAGCACUCUCACAAGGCCAAGCCCAGAGCUUGGCACCUAGCACAAUACCUAUUUGUUGAACAAGUGAUGAAUGCUGACCCAUUUAUCUGGAUUGAUUUUCUUCUGCCCCAAACCUAACUUUCUACUCUGUUAAAUUCGACUCUCUUAUCCUUUUAGAGAAUUCUUCAAUACAUUUUUCCCCUCCACAUCUUAAACUAUUCCCUGAAGAAUUCUCAUGGCUCUAUAUCAAAAGUCCUAUUAAAUUCUUAAUGGGAUAACCAUGAAAAAGGAAAUUAUUGUAUUAAUUCUCUGUCACCAGCACAGGACUGAGUGAGCUGACCGCUGGCGGAGCAUUCGGGUUCUGAGUCAGGAGCCUGGGCACAUUCAUGCUCACACAGUGGACGCGCAUUAAAGUGAGAGCCUGCACUUUUCACGUGAGAGAGAACACAUGGCAUUUGUCCAUCCGAGCCUGGCUCACCUCACAUACAGCUCUGGGCGUGCAGCCAAGUUAUUCAACCUCCCUGCACCUGGGAUCCCUCACGGGCUCACUGAGGAGUGAAUUCAGUCUCUGGAAGUACUGAGUACAGCACCUGACCUGUGGCACAUUCUCAGUGGAAGUACUGAGUACAGCACCUGACCUGUGGCACAUUCUCAGUGGAAGUACUGAGUACAGCACCUGACCUGUGGCACAUUCUCAGUAAGCACUACUUUUUACCACCAAUCUACUAGAAGUAAUAAUCACUAAUUUAACACGAACGUUAAUAUUUUAAUGUGCCAAUUUAUAUUCAUUCAAUAUGAAUUUAGAAGAUUAUGGAAUAAUAUGUGACUGAUAAAAAUUUUCUUCUUUGAAGAAAGCUCUAUUUAAGAACAUGAGAUGGUUACAUAAAGGAAAUCGUUUUAGUUUACCUCGUGUUCCUCGGUAAAUUCUCUGUCGUGCCUUCCAGAAAACGAAACUCCUUGACAAAGCUUAAAUGUUUAUAAAACUUCCUUGAAAACUUACACAUUUUCCCAUUUUUUUCUGACAGAAUGUGAAGAGACUGUUUCAGUGCUUUCCUCCCACAACUGUCCGCUUCCAAAAGACAAAUUGCAGAAGGCAGGGAUUUUUUUAUUUUUACAAGUCUCAAAUUAAAACCUCACAUUAAACAUUAUUAUCAUUUGGAAAUAUUUGGCCACGCAAAAGCCAACAGACAAGUUCGUUCUAAAAGGCAUUCUGUCAUCUCUUUAGUGGCCACGGCCCUGCCAGCUUCCUGGUGCUCUUAUGACAGUACCAUCAGUCAAUUCAAUCGGAGAAAAUCUAAAGUACGAUGGUAAUUUUCCCCCACAUUUUUUCUCUACUCCGUCAGUCCAAGUCACCUGCUGAAAGCCUUGAUGUGGAACAGCUCGGUAUUCGCUCUGAAGUCAGUACCAGUCCAAAGCUAAAUGCCUGCAUAUUCUUAGCAGAGACUUAACAGCACGUGAGCCCAGACGUGGAACAGACAUGGGGGCACAUUACUUAAGAUCCCCUGUUAUAAAGUCAUUUGCACUGACCCUGAGUAUUGCUACACUGAUGUUAGCCGGGAAAGGAAAAUGAGUUCCUGAAUAUAGGAACAAGUGUUUCAGCGUGAAGUUAACUGAGAACUAUUAAAAAACAAACAAUAAACUCGACUCCAUACCCAGCACAUUAAGUAGCUGACACGUCUAACAGGGUCUCGGCAGAAAGACAUAGGACAUUUUAAAAGAACGCUUCUGUGCCUUUAAAUUUCAACUUGAGUUUUGCAGUAGUGUGCACAUUUUUUUCACAUGGCCCCUUAAAGAGAAAGUAAAGUGCAAUCACCUCUGGUAUCUUCCGUGCUCUGGCACCUCGCCUGGCCUGCCGAGCCCAGCAGGUAGGUCUGUAAGCACUGAGGCUGCCAGGAUGAAAGGCAUUUGCUACAUCUACUCAGAGGGUCGUCAAUGGACAACCUGUACAAGAUUUAUGCUUUAAAUAAUAAAUGAACUAAACACCUUGAGGUAAUUGGCUGUGUGAAGCUUCACAAUAGCCCAGAUAGCUUGUCUGAAAAAAGCCAAAGAAGACUGAAUAAUGGAUGCGGGGCGUGGGGGAUUUGUGCCAAGCCAACACUGCACAGCUCCUUUUUAAACAAGAGUGGUCUGGGACUCCAGUUUCCAGGAUCCUAAGAAGUGCUGACCAGACUUUCUCUUUCUGUGUCCACAGUAAUGACUUCAAACGUUCUUACUUUUUCAUGAUUUCCAAUGGAUGCUGGCACGUGACAGCCAGUUCUUUUAGCUUAAUAUGUGGCCCGCUGGGUGAUGCAAUCUUGUCCAAAGUCUACAGCAUACUCAAUUCUACCUGCACUUUAUAAAGAUAAGAAAGACCAGCAUCUGAGAUGUCUGGGGGUGGGUACCUCUGAUGCAGUACAGAUUUAGUAGCAACUGCCACCAUGAGGACUAACUGAUGGCCUGUCAACCAGCAUUCAAGACAUGUCCACUGCAGGAUUCUGUAAGCAGAGAGCCCCUUCCUGUGAGAAAAGCACAUCAAGAUAUUCAUAUGAACAAAUUAUGGCAGCUUGGUGGAAAAUUUAAAUGGGGAAGAGAUGAAGGCCAGAUAACUGCAGGACAGCCAUGGUUUGAGAAAUGCCGAACACUGAGAAACUGAGCCCUGAAGAAAGGACCUACAAGGACGAGCUGAUGACCAAUGGAGAAGGAAAAGUCUCCUUUUCAACCAGUCUACACAACACGCUUUCACUAGUCACUACUCACUUCAGCUAGGGCAUUUUUAUAGGUAAGUCGGCGUCUUUAUUCUUUAGACCAUGUGGAAGAAAGAAUGCAGAUAAAAUUCAAUCAAUAAUUUCUUAUUCAAUUACUGUAAGAAUGUUUUCACGUAUUGCAGAGAUAGACCAUUGUGCCCACCUUUAAAAAGCAAAGAAAAGAAAACCUGAUGUACAAAAAAUUUAACUUGCUCCACAUAUAAAUUAGGAAGUGAUUAUUUGCAUUACAAAAGAUCAUACUUUUCAAAAAAAAAGAUAAGUAACAAGAUUCCUUGAAAUAUCAAGUCCCUUGGUAGAACAAAAUUUUAAUCCAAUUUACAAAGGAAACAGGGAAGCACAAACUUCAUGUGGGCCUAACUCCUACUUCGAAAUCUUUACUGGCCUGUGGCCUCCCUUUCUGCUUUUUCCUGCACCUCUGUGCAGGAUAUUAUGUAAGAAAGCGCCCACUCUGCCAUAGUAAUGGGGUAUGGAUGUAGCAGAGAUGUCUGGGUUGCUGGCGGAAGUGCCAGAGAUUAUCUGAGGUACUGGCGGAAGUGGCAGAGAUUAUCUGAGGUACUGGCGGAAGUGCCAGAGACUGGCUGGGGUGCUAGAGUGCAGAGGAGAUUGAGAUGAAGUAGUUUAGAGUCUCCGGCAUGUCUUAACGCAAGGCUUCAUCUUCUGCCUGCCUUCCUAUAUUUUGAGCUCUUCACAAAGGGAUCGUUUUGUUGUUGCUGUUUAUAACUCAGUCCCUGGGGCCAGGCCUGGCAUCUGAUUCACAGAAUUGUGCAAACCAAUAGUGCUGGAAAGAGAUUUCUAGGUGCCACCGUGUAACUGAGUUUCUGGCCUCACUGAGGAACUGCUAUCUCAUUCAGUUCUCCGUGCAUAGUGAUGGAAUGUGGACAGUGUGGCCGUGCGCUCAGGAGUCAAGUACAGUGGCUGAGCUCACACACUGCAAAGUGGUGGGGAACAGGAAUUCACAUCUGCAGGACACUCUGAACUGCAGACAAUCUGUAAGCACAGCGGUAAGAUGCUCACAAUGUAACAUGAGCAAGAGGCAUUACUUACAGCCACAGAACAGAUGCGGUUCUAUUCCAUCUCGUUCUAGAGACAUAGUCAGUAUUUCUGAAAAGAACACACUUUCCACAUACGGGCCAUCCAGAAUCUUCUCCUGGUGAUUCACUGACAGAGCAAAGCCCUUGAAGACGGGGUAUUUUUUUUUUUUUUGAAAAAGCACACUACAGCAUCUUUUCAUUUUGGUCAUUCUUCUAUACUUUUGACAAUAAUUUAAAAACAGUAAGCAUUCAAGUUCCCAGUCCCAUGAGCUCAGGGUUGUACCCGGGCUCUGCCACUUUUCAGUCAUGUGGUCUCUAAGAGGGACACUGAGAGCUGGCAGAUUGAAAAGGCUGAGGGCAGUGGGGAAAAGAAAAGCACAGAGCAAUGGGGGAGAGAGAACCUGGACUGUACACAGCAAAGCGCUCACAAGCACUGCAGAUUAUCAAACUCCCUCGGGGGAGCUGUGGUGAGCAGUUAUCCCACGACAUUCUAGAACAAGACAAAGAACUCCAAGAGGAUUGGGAUGAAGAAGAGAAAAUAGAUCUGCCUUUUGAUUGACACCUCAUGCAAUGGAAAGGGUAAACAGGAAAUCCACAGCAAAAGUAAAACGUAUUCUAGAAAAACUACAGAAAUCUUCAAAGCAAGACUUCUACAAUGAAUCUAAGUUUGCACAUCUAAGAUUAACAUGAUCCAAACCAAGAAAAUCUUUUGUCAUAAUUCUCCUUCUUAAUUCUGUUGUGAAACCCUGAGCUAUUCAUUUUUCUGGGAAAGGUUUGGUGCUUCCUCAAGAAUAUCCAUUGGGGCUUUUUCCUGAAAGACUAGAAGAGAUUCAUCUUCCUAAAUGUGUUAACAAAGAUCCUCUCACAUGUCCACACGUACAUACCCAGGGAAGUCUUUCAACCCAAGCCCCAUGGGGUGCUAAUCAAACUGCAGUGUUCUGUAGACCAAACCAUGAUGGCUCUUCUACCAGAUAUCUCUGGUUGGCACUGGCAGCUAUCCUGCAACUUUAAACUUAAAUGAGAGGCCCAGAAAAAAAACAGGCUCGGCAAUGAUUUAAUUGAAGGAAAUUUUUGUGAGCCAGGAAUUCUGUAACAAGCCAAGUUAUAAUUCAAGUAUGAUAAUAAUAAUAAAAAUAAAAUAUUCAAGGGCUCAGAAAAAUCUAACACAUAAAUCACUUAAAACCUCUUCAAGAUGUACUCCAGUUAACUGAGAAAUGAAUCAAACUGGAGAUGCCGUGAUGUGACAGACUUCAGAUUGAAAGUUAGACACAAGUGACUCUGAGCUGAUGAAAAUGCUGCAGAAGUACAUUUAGAUUUUAAUAUUGUAAAAUAAUUUGGUAGUAAUAAACUAAGUUUAAAACAAUAGGCUUUGCCAAAAAGCACAUUUUUUUAAUACUGCAGGUUUCACUUAGGGACAAUCUAAAGACAAAUAUCCCAAACAAAGAUUACGAUGCCUGUUUUCACGUGUCACCUUGAUUAGGUCAAUAAGUACCCAGGUUCUUGGCCUAACAUUAUAUUGAAGUGUUUCUGUGACAUUCUUUUAGGAUAAUGUGAAAUUUAAAAUAGUGAGAAAAGAAGAGUAUACUGCUUAAUGUGGUUGCCACUUAAGCAAUUCCUGGAAGAACUGAAAAGAACAAAAAGGCAGGCAUACUCAGACUCCACAAAAAACAGCCCCAGUUCUUCCUGUCAGCCAAGCUCUAACAGGACAUCAACCCCACUCCAUGCAGUUCUGAAACCACAGGACAACCCCAGCCCCCUGUAGGUAUGUCUUAAAAGAUCAUCAUUCUUUAUUAGGGAAGUACAAAUAAAAUUAUAAUUGGGUACCAUUUUCUUCACAGCAGGACGAUGGAUAGUGUUAAGGAGUUUCUUAUAAAAAGAAAACCUGGAAUAUAGGUGUUAAGAAUGAAAAUAAACUAUGAAUAUUUGGCAUGGAUAUAAAAAGGUAUGUAGUAUAUUCAUAGUUUUACUGAGAUGUUAGUACAUACAUGGUGUUCUUACGUUCAAUAGCAAUGAAGAAAUGCCAAGAGGAAAAUCAGCAGAUCUAAGUUUGCAAAAAGGAAAAGAAACUUAUUUGUGUUGUAAAAUAACAACCCAAAAAGGAAAUAUAGGAAACAGUAAAGUGUCAAAUGAUCUACCACACAUGGUUCACAGUAAUCAAGUAAUGUCACUGAAUUGUUAGCAGCAAAUCAGGUAGUGUCUAUUAAAUGGCAUAAAUAAAAAUAUAAAACCAUGUAUUCAACACAAUGUGCCAUAUGUGUUCUAAAGAAAUACGGGUUUCACUUUCAAAUGAAGAAAUAUACUAAAACUGGCCUUGGAAAAAAUGGAGUUAAACUUGCAUUUUCUCACAAGGCUAAGGAGGUGAUUUGCCUUGCAAGAGACUCUCAUACACAUGAGACACCUCUGAACACAUACACUUAUAACAUGAUACCAUCCCCAUAGAAUAACCUUAACAAAAUAUUCCUGCAAAAUUUAUAUAAAAUGCUCACAAGUUCAAUAUAUAUAUAUGUGUGUGU
rnacentral:sRNA from 1 species